rnacentral:rRNA from 1 species
AUACGAAGGGGGCUAGCGUUGUUCGGAAUUACUGGGCGUAAAGCGCAUGUAGGCGGACAUUUAAGUCAGGGGUGAAAUCCCGGGGCUCAACCUCGGAACUGCCUUUGAUACUGGGUGUCUAGAGUGUGGAAGACCCGGUAAGUGGAAUUCCGAGUGUAGAGGUGAAAUUCGUAGAUAUUCGGAGGAACACCAGUGGCGAAGGCGGCUUACUGGUCCAUUACUGACGCUGAGGUGCGAAAGCGUGGGGAGC